CAUCUUCAGCAGGUCGUCCUGCAACACAAGCUGUGUGGGUCACGACCACAACAACAACAACUACACAACAACACAACUACACAACCCGGCUGGACCGAGGCUUUCCCGGUCUGCCGGUGCCACGUUCACAGCCGACCGGGCCGCCUCUCAGCAGGAGAACAGUUCCACCGGAGGAGAAACUCUGUGGAGCUCCUGGUUCCAGACCUGCGGGACACAAAAAAACAAGUCAGCUGAUGGAGUACGGGUCAAAGGUCACAGGGAGAACAGAGGUCGCUCAGACAUCCAAGGAAGGAUUGGGCCGUCUUUGGUCGUGAGACCUCUGGAGGAAACUACGAAUGGAGGAAGAAUCGUCAUCACAGCGAAAAGAGACGGAAACACGAAAUAUGAAUAAACACUCACCGCUUCAGGGCUCUGAUUGUAGAUUUGAAGGCUUUGUGUCAAUAAUAACGUAUCGCAUAGAUUACAUUGUCUGCCUUUUAGGAAUACAUUCUUUUAAAUAAUAAAAUCUUUCAAAACUUG